GACGAACGCUGGCGGCGUGCUUAACACAUGCAAGUCGAACGGUGAAGGGACUGGUUUUGCCGGACCUGGACGUGUGGCGAACGGGCGAGUAACUCGGGAGUAACCUGCCCCCUUCUUCUGGAUAACCGCAUGAAAGUGUGGCUAAUACGGGAUAUUUUGGGUCUGUCGCUUGGCGGGCCUGGGAAAGAUUGCGUCUUUUUUGGAGUUCUUGCCGGGGGAUGGGUCCGCGGCGGAUCAGCGAGGUGGUAGGGGAAAAGCCUACCAAGGCGAGGACGCAUAGCUGGUCUGAGAGGAUGAUCAGCCACACUGGGACUGAGACACGGCCCAGACUCCUACGGGAGGGAGCAGUGGGGAAUAUUGGACAAUGGGCGAAAGCCUGAUCCAGCAAUGCCGCGUGAGUGAUGAAGGCCUUAGGGUUGUAAAGCUCUUUUACCCGGGAUGAUAAUGACAGUACCGGGAGAAGAAGCGCCGGCUAAAUCCGUG
rnacentral:rRNA from 1 species